CUGCGAGUUCGCGGGAGAGUAGGUUAUUGCCAGGGUUUUUGUUUUUAUGCUUUUGACUUUGAUUUUAUUUUUGCGUUUUUAAAUAUUAGUGUUUUUGAAUGUGUUAUUUAAAUAACAUAAAAAAUGAAAUAUAUAUUGACAUGUAUUAAACAAAGAUAUAUAUUACUUUAUGUUGCAUAAACAAAUUGGCAAAAUAGAGAUGGAAGAUAAAAAUAUGGUCAAAGUAAUAAGAGUCUAUGGUGAAUGCCUAGGA
rnacentral:misc_RNA from 1 species